rnacentral:rRNA from 1 species
AGAUGUGAAAGCCCGGGGCUCAACCUCGGAACCGCAUUUGAAACUGGCAGGCUAGAGUCUUGUAGAGGGGGGUAGAAUUUCAGGUGUAGCGGUGAAAUGCGUAGAGAUCUGAAGGAAUACCAGUGGCGAAGGCGGCCCCCUGGACAAAGACUGACGCUCAGAUGCGAAAGCGUGGGUAGCAAACAGGAUUAGAUACCCUGGUAGUCCACGCCGUAAACGCUGUCUACUUGGAGGUUGAGGUUUAGACUUUGGCUUUCGGCGCUAACGCAUUAAGUAGACCGCCUGGGGAGUACGGCCGCAAGGUUAAAACUCAAAUGAAUUGACGGGGGCCCGCACAAGCGGUGGAGCAUGUGGUUUAAUUCGAUGCAACGCGAAGAACCUUACCUACUCUUGACAUCCAGUGAACUUUCCAGAGAUGGAUUGGUGCCUUCGGGAACACUGAGACAGGUGCUGCAUGGCUGUCGUCAGCUCGUGUUGUGAAAUGUUGGGUUAAGUCCCGCAACGAGCGCAACCCUUAUCCUUGUUUGCCAGCACGUAAUGGUGGGAACUCCAGGGAGACUGCCGGUGAUAAACCGGAGGAAGGUGGGGACGACGUCAAGUCAUCAUGGCCCUUACGAGUAGGGCUACACACGUGCUACAAUGGCAGAUACAGAGGGCAGCGAAGCUGCGAAGUGGAGCGAAUCCCUUAAAGUCUGUCGUAGUCCGGAUUGGAGUCUGCAACUCGACUCCAUGAAGUCGGAAUCGCUAGUAAUCGUGGAUCAGAAUGCCACGGUGAAUACGUUCCCGGGCCUUGCACACACCGCCCGU